rnacentral:rRNA from 1 species
GAUGAACGCUGGCGGCGUGCUUAACACAUGCAAGUCGAACGAAGCAUUUGCGACAGAUUUUUUCGGAAUGAAGUUGCUUAUGACUGAGUGGCGGACGGGUGAGUAACGCGUGGGUAACCUGCCUUGUACUGGGGGAUAGCAGCUGGAAACGGCUGGUAAUACCGCAUAAGCGCACAAUGUUGCAUGACAUGGUGUGAAAAACUCCGGUGGUAUAAGAUGGACCCGCGUCUGAUUAGCUAGUUGGUGAGAUAACAGCCCACCAAGGCGACGAUCAGUAGCCGACCUGAGAGGGUGACCGGCCACAUUGGGACUGAGACACGGCCCAGACUCCUACGGGAGGCAGCAGUGGGGAAUAUUGCACAAUGGAGGAAACUCUGGUGCAGCGACGCCGCGUGAGUGAAGAAGUAAUUCGUUAUGUAAAGCUCUAUCAGCAGGGAAGAUAGUGACGGUACCUGACUAAGAAGCUCCGGCUAAAUACGUG